rnacentral:rRNA from 1 species
UAGUGGCAGACGGGUGAGUAACGCGUGGGAACGUNCCCUUCACUACGGAAUAGCUUCUGGAAACGGAAGGUAAUACCGUAUACNCCCUUCGGGGGAAAGAUUUAUCGGUGAAGGAUCGGCCCGCGUUANAUUAGUUUGUUGGUGGGGUAAUGGCCUACCAAGACUACGAUCUAUANNUGGUCUGAGAGGAUGAUCAGCCNCACUGGGACUGAGACACGGCCCANACUCCUACGGGAGGCAGCNGUGGGGAAUCUUGCACAAUGGGCGAAAGCCUGAUGCAGCCAUGCCGCGUGAAUGAUGACGGCCUUAGGGUUGUAAAAUUCUUUCNCCNGGNAUGAUAAUGACAGNACCUGGUAAAGAANCCCCGGCUAACUUCGUGCCNGCAGCCGNGGUAAUACNAAGGGGGCUAGCGUUGUUCGGAAUUACUGGGCGUAAAGCGCGCGUAGGCGGGCUAUUAAGCCAGAUGUGAAAGCCCGGGGCUCAACCCCGGAAUUGCAUUUGGAACUGGUAGCCUAGAGACCAGGAGAGGUUAGCGGAAUACCGAGUGUAGAGGUGAAAUUCGUANAUAUUCGGUGGAACACCAGUGGCGAAGGCGGCUANCUGGACUGGUACUGACGCUGAGGCGCGAAAGUGUGGGGA